rnacentral:rRNA from 1 species
GACGAACGCUGGCGGCGUGCUUAACACAUGCAAGUCGAACGGAAAGGCCCUGCUUUUGUGGGAUGCUCGAGUGGCGAACGGGUGAGUAACACGUGAGUAACCUGCCCUUGACUUUGGGAUAACUUCAGGAAACUGGGGCUAAUACCGGAUAGGAGCUCCUGCUGCAUGGUGGGGGUUGGAAAGUUUCGGCGGUUGGGGACGGACUCGCGGCUUAUCAGCUUGUUGGGGGGGUAGUGGCUUACCAAGGCUUUGACGGGUAGCCGGCCUGAGAGGGUGACCGGCCACAUUGGGACUGAGAUACGGCCCAGACUCCUACGGGAGGCAGCAGUGGGGAAUAUUGCACAAUGGGCGGAAGCCUGAUGCAGCAACGCCGCGUGCGGGAUGACGGCCUUCGGGUUGUAAACCGCUUUCGCCUGUGACGAAGCGUGAGUGACGGUAAUGGGUAAAGAAGCACCGGCUAACUACGUGCCAGCCGCCGCCGUAA